rnacentral:lncRNA from 10 species
GGCGACGUCACAGUGGCGCUACAGUGCCUGGAGCUGCGCUGGUUUUUCCUCGGAGUGGAGCCUGGUAACCGCGACUUCCCCGCCAUGUUCUGUGUGUUGCUGGCUGGAGAAGGGUGGUUGACAAACUCCGACCCAGCACAGUGUUUCUGUGGGUCAAAACUAGAAAACUAUGUCCAGGCUCGGCCGAGGCGGAAGGAUCCGUUCAGGCCAGGAGUUAAAGAGCUGCCUGGGCAACAUGGCGCGACCCCAUCUCUGUAGUCCCACCUCAGCUUCCCAGAUACUUGAACCCCAAGGUUCAAGGCUGCAAUGAGCUAUGAUCCCAUCACAGCACUCCAUCCUGCGAGACGGAGGUAAACCUUGUCUAAAAAAAUAAACUAUCCAAGUGUACAACAGGGAGGGACUGCUUAAAGAAAACAUGAUAA